ensembl:rRNA 5S_rRNA 5S ribosomal RNA
AUUAUUUGCCAAACCUCCUUGUCAAUGACUGAUCUUGUCUGAUCUCAGAGGCUAAGUACUGUAAGUCUGUACCUGGUUAGUACUUGGAUGGGAGACCACUGGGAGUACCAUGUGCCACAGUG